GACAGAGGUGCCGAGCGUUAGGCGGAAUCACUGGGCUUAAAGCGUGUGUAGGCGGAUGGGUAAGUACCUUGUGAAAUCCCACGGCUCACCCGUGGAACUGCUGGGCAUACUGGCGAUCUUGGGCCAACUAGGGGCAACUGGAACAAGCGGUGGAGCGGUGAAAUGCGUAGAUAUCGCUUGGAACGCCAAAGGUGAAAACAGGUCGCUGGGGUUGUGCCGACGCUGAGACACGAAAGCCAGGGGAGCAAACGGG
rnacentral:rRNA from 1 species